CAUACCGAACACGGAAGUUAAGCUCUUCAGCGCCGAUGGUAGUUGGGGGUUUCCCCCUGUGAGAGUAGGACGCCGCCAAGC
rnacentral:rRNA from 2 species